CANUGGNUCUUNGGNCGAGNUUGAUCNUGCUNGUCGAGCGGNGGAAGGUNGCUUGCUACCGGACCUAGCGGCGGACGGGUGAGUAAUGCUUAGGAAUCUGCCUAUUAGUGGGGGACAACAUCUCGAAAGGGAUGCUAAUACCGCAUACGUCCUACGGGAGAAAGCAGGGGAUCUUCGGACCUUGCGCUAAUAGAUGAGCCUAAGUCGGAUUAGCUAGUUGGUGGGGUAAAGGCCUACCAAGGCGACGAUCUGUAGCGGGUCUGAGAGGAUGAUCCGCCACACUGGGACUGAGACACGGCCCANACUCCUACGGGAGGCAGCAGUGGGGAAUAUUGGACAAUGGGGGGAACCCUGAUCCAGCCAUGCCGCGUGUGUGAAGAAGGCCUUAUGGUUGUAAAGCACUUUAAGCGAGGAGGAGGCUACUUUAGUUAAUACCUAGAGAUAGUGGACGUUACUCGCAGAAUAAGCACCGGCUAACUCUGUGCCAGCAGCCGCGGUAAUACAGAGGGUGCGAGCGUUAAUCGGAUUUACUGGGCGUAAAAGCGUGCGUAGGCGGCUUAUUAAGUCGGAUGUGAAAUCCCCGAGCUUAACUUGGGAAUUGCAUUCGAUACUGGUGAGCUAGAGUAUGGGANAGGAUGGUANAAUUCCAGGUGUAGCGGUGAAAUGCGUAAAGAUCUGGAGGAAUACCGAUGGCGAAGGCAGCCAUCUGGCCUAAUACUGACNCUGAGGUACNAAAGCCUGGGGGAGCAAACAGGAUUAAAUACCUGGNAGUCCNUGCCCGUAAACAAUGUCUACUANCCGNUGGGGGCCNUUNGAGNCUUUAUNGGCCCACCUNACNCNAANAAAUAAACCNCNUGGGGANAUCNGNNCCCAANAAUAAAACUCCANUGAAUNGGCGGGGGC
rnacentral:rRNA from 1 species